UCCCCGCAGCCUCCCUGCGGUGCCAGCCUCUGGCUUUUGUUUCGGGAGUCUUUGGAAGGCAGUGCAAAGGAAGGCGUUUGUCCAGCCCACCGGCCUCGUCCUCCACUGCUGGCACGGAGAGCAUUAUCUGUGCGAGUGCUCAUCACCAGCCUGGAAGCGGUCCCUGGGACUGGGUAACCAUGGCAAAAACAGAGCAGUUCUUCUGCAUCUCAGUGGAGCACUGACCAAGGCAGCACAGGCAAAGCUGCUCUGGGCUGGCGGUGAGGUGGUAAUGCUCCUGUGGCGCUGUUUGUGCAUGGGCUUCUCUUCACCUUUGGCUCCAUUUAAUCUCUUGUUUGGCAAAACAACACAGUGCUCCUCUCCUUUGUUACUUGAACUAGCUCCAAAGACUGCUAAAGGCCAUGGGAGAGCCAGGGAAGUGUCCUGGCAGCCCUUGCGCUCUGGCUGCCCGGAGGCCGUGCUGCAGGUACUCCACAGAAAGGCUCGGUGCCUCUAGCUGUGCUCCUCAGCCCCUGGGAGCAGGGCAGGGGGCAGCACACCUUCUCUGCACCCAUCUCCAGAGGCUCUGUGGCACCGUGGUAUAUCCCAGUGACACCACCGAUGGGGCAAGGCCAGCCCUUCGAAGCUGGGGAGCCUAACAAGCUCCAGAAAACAUCCCCACUCUUUCCCACGGGGAGCAGCAAAUCUGACUGGCAGACAAAAGCAAAUGUGGUUGCAUCUAAAUACUGGCAAUUUCAACAGAGUGGGACAGGAUUCAUGAAAAUCUUUUUCGAGAAUCAUUACAGGCUGCACAGGGGUAACAGGAAAUAAAGCUUGUCUUUAGGGUUCUGCUACUGUAGGAGAAUGGGAACCAAAAUUUCACUUGCCCCAAACCAGUUCAUACUUGAAUUAUGGCAACUCAGACUUCUCCUCAUAAACAUGCCAGAACGAGUGUGAUGAUUCAGCUUACUGUGGUUUUAUGUCCUAAAGUACUGGUCCCUUGCCACUACUGCUUUUGAGUUUGAAAUUGCUUGUGCUAUUAUCUCGAUUAUUUUUUUAAUUAUUUAUAUAGGCAGUGUGGGAAAAGCAAUGAGAGUGAUUACACUUGAAAUGAGAACUCUGUUUGAAUGAGCUUUUGAGUCACACUGUGCCUAAACUACACCAUCAGGCAAAUAGAGGAAAACUCCCAAAUGGCACAAAGCUUUGGCCUCUACCUCCAGAACCACGUCAGCCCUGGGAUCUCCAACCAAAAUGUGGAGGAGUGUGGCAGGGCUCCAGUGCUCCCAACUGCCUCCUUUCUGCUUCAGAAGAUUCGUUUUCUUCCCCUGCAGUCAUAGGACCAAGGGUCUGGCUGAAGAGCAACUGGAGUGAAAAAAAUGCUGUAUGUGAAAAUUUAUACAUUUGUUCUCAAAGAUGACAAUGCAGCAAGUGCUUUUAUCCCAAUAAUCUGGGUUUGUUAGGAUGCCCUGAAUGUCUUUGGAGCCCAGCAGAUUCUCUACUGAUCCUGCCCUGCUUCCAGAAGUAUUACCCUUCUUCCCUGAUAAAGUUGCUUUGGCACUGACUUCCACGAACCUUAGACCGGAGAUCAGAAAUUACUUUCCAGAUCAUAACUGGAUAGUGAAGCUUUAAAAGAGAACCAAGUCCACUAGAAUUUCAGUCUGGGCCCUGAUUCCCCAUAUUCAUUCUAAGCCUACAUCUACCUGCUCUUCCCUUUUCCUAUAUCCAUUUUCUAAGAAGAUGCAGCAGCUGGGUAUUACAGUGGCAGAGAAAGACACUUGGUUUCUUCUACCUUUCCUGACAAUAGAAGGAUAAGAAAAACUCAACAACACAGAAUUAUGGCUAAAACAGAUGCCCAGAACUGAAAUGCUUUUUCUCCCAGCAGGGCUAAAGCUCAGCACAACAGUAAAAUUGCAAGAGCAUAGCCUGGUUCAGCUUUUAAGCACUGCAGAGGGCUAUAAGGAUACCUAAGCUGCACAUAAUCUUGCCAAGUAGGAAACAGCUGACUUUAAGUUCUGCAGACGCUGGAUGUAGCGCAUGGCUGCGCAUGGAUUUUGGAGACAUCCAUGGUGGGAAAAUACUGCAUCUCUCAUGCAGUCUCCGGUUACCAAGGCAAACGCAGUUAAGGCACAAAAAGCAAAAUGAGUAAGUUGUUCUUCACAAGCAACCACUGCAUUCUCAGCUGCACUUCAUUUGCUAGAAACCUCCUCCACUUAUCACUGCGCUUUCAGAUGUCCACAGACCUACAGCCUUACCAACAUCUCCAGCUGCUGGACUUCCAGGCCUUGGGAUGCCAUAUGUUGGGUCUUGUGACAGAAGAGUUCAUAAUCCACUGGAGCAAGGCUGACCCGUGAGCAGACAUGGGUGCACACAGGGAAGGGCUGCUCCAGCAGACAUGGGUGCACACAGGGAAGGGCUGCUCCAGCAGACAUGGAUGCACACCUGGAAGGGCUGCUCCAGCAGUGCUCCCGUGAGCACAGGGCUGUGGUAGGGAAGCAGCUAGGCAGGGCUGUGAUUGCCCUUCUUUCCCAGCAGCUUCUGUACCCAUCUCAGCUGGCUGAUGGUUGCAGGCCAGAGUAACAUGCGUCUGGUGUGUGGGAUACUGGAAAAAUGCUGCAACACCUCCCUUUUAUGGGGUCUGCAUAUGGAUCUAGAGGCUUAACAUUAGGUGGCCAAGUUUAUGAUGUGUUGUAUAGGUGCAGUGUUAGGUAACUGGAGAGGAAAUUACAGUGCAAGUAAUGCACUGUAUUAAUUUAGGACUAGUUAACAGCAACUAAUUAAAAACAAUUAUAAGGACAAGCAGACAUGAGCUAUAGCAUUUAUAUAGAUGCAAAGACAUCUGCCUCAGUGCAGAGGUUACCCUUUUAAAAGCAGGAAGAAUCCAAGUUUAUGAAAGACGGGGUGGGGAGUGUUAGCGUUAUUUGUAAUGGUAUUGUCAGUGUUUCUUGUCUCAAGUUCUUAGAAAGAAAAUCCUUCAGACAAUGGAGGAGAUGGAAGAGUCAACUCUAAGCAAUUCCAGGUACCUUAAAGCUAACAGGAAGGGCCCCUCAGCGCUGCUUUCCGGCCUUUGGUGGCCCAGGGUUGGAAUUAAACGUGCAGAAGUUUACCCUAAACAAACUUGCUGCAGGGCUUACACAUGCACAG